ACAAAAGAAAUGAAGUGGGAAGAGCCAUAUGACUCACAAAAGAAAAAACAAAUCUGAAAGAAGAUUGACUUUAAUUAUUUAGUUAUUUUAAGUGCCUGAAAAUGGUUUUGAAGGCAGGCGUGAGGCGAGGUGACUCACAGAAUACUUGUUCAAAAGUAAAAAUUGACAGUGAGUGAUUGGUUGGAGUGUUAAAAGAAAGCAGGAUUAGUUGUUUUGCUAAACAAUACUUUCUCAUAUACAGGUCAAGUAUGCUAAAUGAUGAGACAGACAAACAAAGUGUUUCUGUCCUACUUCUCCCCUUCUUGGAAUCUUGUCAUUCCACUUGAUAGACAAGAUUCCUGACUCUCCACUUCAGGACUCUGUAUCACUGAGCCUCAGCUGCUCACUGGUACAGUUGGUUGUCCCUCAACAGGAACGUCUAGGGUUUGAUCCCCAGCUCCUGCAUUCACAUGGCAAGGGUGUCUUUGGGCAAGACAUUGAACUAGGGAUAACCCGAUACCGAUACCAGUAUUCGGCAUCGGCCUUUAAGUACUCAUACUCGUAGUCGUAAAACUAUGCAUCGCGGAUACAACGGCACCAAUACCACUUUACGACGGGCCUGCGCCUCUUUUUGGUUGAGACAACCUGCACGGUAAAAAUAACAGAAGCUCUGACCCAGUUCAUUACUCUUGAUGACCAGCUGUUGCUGUGAAUGAAGGACUUUGGGCUCAGAGGAGUGUAGCUGACGCGGUGUCAGUCGGACGUCAAACUGUUGGACAUUUGAAGCAUUAGUCUUCUCCUGCCUGGAAGACAUUGAGCUGCAGCUCAAGCAGCCCGUAAGAAGACUCCAACAAGACGUGCAGACGAGCUGGAAUAGCACCUACUACAUGCUACAAGCGGGCUCUGGGAAGAUUUGGCUCCGAAUAUGAACUCCCUGACAAUCUUACAGGACACCAGUGGACACUUGUGGAAAAAACUUUGUCUGUUUUGGCUCCGUUUGAGGAGUUAACCCGAAAAGUGAGCUCGUCCGGUGCUUUAGCAUCAGAUGUAAUUCCUGCUGUGACGUGCUUCAGAGACUUUGGACCAAAGAAACAGACUCGGAUCAGGGCAUCAAAACGAUGAAAGCGACCUUGGCUGCAGACUGUCAACAGGUGCUUCAUGGAGACUGAAAAACCCUCACUACUGUAUCACUACUGUACUCUGUACUACUGUAUCACUACUGCAUCACUACUGUACUCUGUACUACUGUAUCACUACAGCAUCACUACUGUAUCACUACUGUAUCACUACUGUACUCUGUACUACUGCAUCACUACUGCAUCACUACUGUAUCACUACUGUACUCUGUACUACUGUAUCACUACAGCAUCACUACUGUAUCACUACUGCAUCACUACUGUACUCUGUACUACUGCAUCACUACCGCAUCACUACUGUAUCACUACUGCAUCACUACUGUACUCUGUACUACUGCAUCACUACUGUAUCACUACUGCAUCACUACCGUAUCACUACUGCAUCACUACUGCAUCACUACUGUACUACUGCAUCACUACUGUAUCACCACUGUAUCACUACUGUACUCUGUACUACUGCAUCACUACUGUAUCACUACUGUAUCACUACUGUACUCUGUACUACUGCAUCACUACUGUAUCACUACUGCAUCACUACUGUACUCUGUACUGCUGCAUCACUACUGUAUCACUACUGCAUCACUACUGCAUCACUACUGCAUCACUACUGUACUCUGUACUACUGCAUCACUACUGCAUCACUACUGUAUCACUACUGUAUCACUACUGUACUCUGUACUACUGCUGGGAAGGUUUGGGCCCAGCACACCAGGGAGCCUGGCAGAUUUCCUCUGCUGCUCUUACUGUCUGGGUUUAGUUUGUUUUCUUUGCUGUUGAUUUUUGUUUCUAGUCCGCCUGGCAUAUGAGCUGGUAUUUGAGGCAAAAGAUCUCUGGGGUUGCCUACGUAGGCGGACUAGUUUUUUUUUGUGUUUUUCGUCUUGUUUGUUUUGUUUGUUUGUUUUAUUGUCACCACUUCUCCAGCGCAGGUCAGGGCGGACCAUCGGGGAGGGUCAACGUCAUUCUGGUCGCGAGCUGACGGAGGAUCUGAUUUGAGUGUGUAAACGCCACAAGUUUGUUGCAUGCUAAUAGUGUGAAUAUAGUUGCAGUGAUAUUGCAUGCUCAUACAUAGUGUGAUUAUAGUUGAAGUUGCAGUGAUAUUGCAUGCUUAUACAUAGUGUGAUUAAGUUGCAAUGAUAUUGUGUGACAAGGAGUCUUUUUACUCCCUUACUGUAGAAGCGUGACACUGAAUUCCUCCUCAGUAAAGCAUCAAAAUACCUGCCCAAGCCAUAAUUCCGCCCGUAAAACAUUGAAAUCUGCGCCGAUUAUCUUAUGGUGACUCAUGAAUUUGAUGUUAUUUAAUGUAAUAAACCUUGGCACCUUUUCUCUUUAAA